GACGAACGCUGGCGGCGUGCUUAACACAUGCAAGUCGAACGGAAAGGCCCUGCUUUUGUGGGGUGCUCGAGUGGCGAAUGGGUGAGUAACACGUGAGUAACCUGCCCUUGACUUUGGGAUAACUUCAGGAAACUGGGGCUAAUACCGGAUAGGGGCUCCUGCUGCAUGGUGGGGGUUGGAAAGUUUCGGCGGUUGGGGAUGGACUCGCGGCUUAUCAGCUUGUUGGUGGGGUAGUGGCUUACCAAGGCUUUGACGGGUAGCCGGCCUGAGAGGGUGACCGGCCACAUUGGGACUGAGAUACGGCCCAGACUCCUACGGGAGGCAGCAGUGGGGAAUAUUGCACAAUGGGCGGAAGCCUGAUGCAGCAACGCCGCGUGCGGGAUGACGGCCUUCGGGUUGUAAACCGCUUUCGCCUGUGACGAAGCGUGAGUGACGGUAAUGGGUAAAGAAGCACCGGCUAACUACGU
rnacentral:rRNA from 1 species